rnacentral:rRNA from 1 species
CUAUACAUGCAAGUCGAGCGAGCUUGCCUAGAUGAAUUUGGUGCUUGCACCAGAUGAAACUAGAUACAAGCGAGCGGCGGACGGGUGAGUAACACGUGGGUAACCUGCCCAAGAGACUGGGGUAACACCUGGAAACAGAUGCUAAUACCGGAUAACAACACUAGACGCAUGUCUAGAGUUUAAAAGAUGGUUCUGCUAUCACUCUUGGAUGGACCUGCGGUGCAUUAGCUAGUUGGUAAGGUAACGGCUUACCAAGGCAAUGAUGCAUAGCCGAGUUGAGAGACUGAUCGGCCACAUUGGGACUGAGACACGGCCCAAACUCCUACGGGAGGCAGCAGUAGGGAAUCUUCCACAAUGGACGCAAGUCUGAUGGAGCAACGCCGCGUGAGUGAAGAAGGGUUUCGGCUCGUAAAGCUCUGUUGGUAGUGAAGAAAGAUAGAGGUAGUAACUGGCCUUUAUUUGACGGUAAUUACUUAGAAAGUCACGGCUAACUACGUGCCAGCAGCCGCGGUAAUACGUAGGUGGCAAGCGUUGUCCGGAUUUAUUGGGCGUAAAGCGAGUGCAGGCGGUUCAAUAAGUCUGAUGUGAAAGCCUUCGGCUCAACCGGAGAAUUGCAUCAGAAACUGUUGAACUUGAGUGCAGAAGAGGAGAGUGGAACUCCAUGUGUAGCGGUGGAAUGCGUAGAUAUAUGGAAGAACACCAGUGGCGAAGGCGGCUCUCUGGUCUGCAACUGACGCUGAGGCUCGAAAGCAUGGGUAGCGAACAGGAUUAGAUACCCUGGUAGUCCAUGCCGUAAACGAUGAGUGCUAA